rnacentral:rRNA from 1 species
AGAGUUUGAUCAUGGCUCAGGACGAACGCUGGCGGCGUGCUUAACACAUGCAAGUCGAGCGGUAAGGCCCUUUUGGGGGUACACGAGCGGCGAACGGGUGAGUAACACGUGGGUGACCUGCCCUCAGCUCUGGGAUAAGCCUGGGAAACUGGGUCUAAUACUGGAUAUUCACUUCUCAUCGCAUGGUGGGUGGUGGAAAGUUUUUUCGGCUGGGGAUGGGCCCGCGGCCUAUCAGCUUGUUGGUGGGGUGAUGGCCUACCAAGGCGACGACGGGUAGCCGGCCUGAGAGGGCGACCGGCCACACUGGGACUGAGACACGGCCCAGACUCCUACGGGAGGCAGCAGUGGGGAAUAUUGCGCAAUGGGCGGAAGCCUGACGCAGCGACGCCGCGUGGGGGAUGACGGCCUUCGGGUUGUAAACCUCUUUCGACCGGGACGAAGCUUUUGUGACGGUACCGGUAGAAGAAGCACCGGCCAACUACGUGCCAGCAGCGGCGGUAAUAC